rnacentral:lncRNA from 1 species
UUUAUGGAUAUAAAUUAUCUAUACCAUGUUAUAACAUAUUGAUAAUAUAUGAUCCGAGAAAUUAAGUGUUGGUUCAGGGUAGAGUGCAUGGAUAAAACAAAGUAAAUUUUUAAAUUUGUUUUUUGAGAUAAGUACAUUUUAAAUUUAGUUGUUCAUUAAUAAAAAAAAAGUAAAUUAAUAAUCAUUAGAAUUGAAAUUUAAGUCGAUAUAUCAAUUCAAUUACUGUUUUCUUGGGCUCCAUUAGAAUUUGUGACAGUGACACACACACAAAAUAUCAGACAUGCCACCAAAUAAAAUUAAUUAUUGGUUGUUAUUGUUAUGAAACAAAUGAAAAUUUCAUAACUUGUAUCAUGUUGAGUCCAGCUGUGCUGCACGAAAAUAUAUAUCAAACUCCAAUAAUCUAGAAAAGGUGGCAUUAUUGGAAUUUUUUUUUUUUUUUUAAAGUCAAGAAUAAUAGAGAUGAUGAAAAUGAAGCAUAUAGUAUUAUUUUUUGCUUUUCUCUUAAGCUUACAGAAUGUUUGUUUACAAUCUCUGCUUGAAAAUGACUUUUGUGUUAGUGUGUGUGUGGUCAUGCUGCACAAUAUGUGGGACUAUUGAGUGUAACAUUUGUUUUGGAUUUAUUUAAUCAAGUAUGUUAGACGUAUAAAAAAUUGACACGUAUCAAAGGUAUAUGAAAUAAUUUGUGAAUGCAUAUAUUCGUGUGUAUAUAAAUAUAAGUAUCAGAAAAAGAAGUUGAAUGUGAUUUUUUAAGUAUUGGUUGUUUCAAGAAUAACUUUGGACCAUGUAGUCUAAAAAAUGAAUUUUAUCAUCUACCACAAUACCAAAAAAAAAAUUAUAAACAAAAUAUGUAGUACCUAGUUAGUUUAAUGAUAGAGUAGUUAAUGACUGAAAUUAAAUGUUUUGGGUUUUGAGUAUAUCGUAUGUAAUUUUAAAAUUUAAUUGUUUAUUAAUACAUAUAUUAAUUGCCUGAUUAAUUAGUUUUACUGUGAAAAUAUACAUAUAUAACCUAAAAAAAAAAACUAAAGAAACUUGAAGGAUAAGAUUAAUAUCCAAAGUGCAUCCAUAAACAAGAACUACAGUACCCCCAGUAUCCAAAUUAAUUCCUAUGAUAGUAAAUUACUAAGUUCAUACUCUAGAUAAUAUAUCGGAUAAAUUAUAUUUAAUUUAGUAAAUUUAACAUUUAUUUAUUUACACAUAUCUAGAAACAUAAAUUACCAUAGUGACAUAUUUAUCCUUCACUAAAGUAGGAGAAUCCGUCACUAUAUAUGAAUUGCGACAUAUAGUGGAGUGGAAUAUCAUCCGAUCCAUCACAAAUGUGUCACUAUUUCUCGUAAUUCUUUUUAUAGUGGAAUAUGUUUAUAACAAAUAUUACAUCCGUCUCAUUUAACUUGGUUUGUAUUUAUUUUUUGAUUGUCCUGCUUAAUUUAGACUGAUUUUUUUUUUGAAUAAUCAUUUAUACUGCAUUAAAUUUCGCCCACAUAUCUAUACAUUAUAAUUUUACUCUGUCAAAUGGGCUGGUCUUGGGUGCGACCGUCGCACAUGUGCGACGGGUCGCCCCGGCCCGCGCCCCGACCCGGCCCGCAAUCCAGACCCGAAAUCCUAAAUCCUAAAUUAUUACAUUUGUUUAUAAUAAUUAUUACUUUUAAUUAACAUGAAAUAUACAUUUAGUUCGCACAAAUUAUACUUAUAUAAAUAUAGGUAUUUUCUUCAUUUAAUAUACAUAUUAUAUUUUCUAAACCCUAAAUUCUAUAAACUAAACCCUAAACCCUGUAAACUAAACCCUAAGCGUGAACACUAAACCCUAAUAGGUGAAGACUAAACCCUAAGUCUGAACAUUAAACCCUAAUAGGAGUAUUUACUUUUAAUAAGCAUAAGAUAUACAUUUGGUCGCACAAAUGUAUACUUAUAUUAAUAUAAGUAUUUACCUUCAUUCAAUAUAAAAUAUUAUACAUAUCAAUAUACAUUUAUAUGAACAAAUGUAUAUAUUAUGUUUAUUAAAAGUAACCAUUAUUAUAAACAAAUGUAAUAAUUAUGAGUAUGGGUCAAACCCACGCGGGUCAGGGUUCCGGGUCAGGAGGGCGGGUUUGGGCCGGGUCGACCCGUCGCACACCUGUGCGACGGUCGCACAGGAGAAUUAGCGCUGUCAAAUAGCCGUGUUGAACAAAAUGAUCUCAACAAUAAAUUAGUAUAGAACACACCAACAAAAUCAAUGCAUGAAGAUAGAGAGGCUAGGAUAACAUGUAUGUAUAAAAUAUUGAAAAUUCUUGAUAUCAUCUGAUGAUACGCAGUGGAACGUAAGAUUAUGCCACUAAUCUAUGCUAGUGGCAAAUGCAAGAAAGUAAAGAGUAAAAAUAAAGAAGAAACAACAAACCGUUGAUGGUAGAGUGAGUGCAGACAUCUGCCGGAGAAAAAGAGCUGAUUUCAACGAUAUGAAAAUGGCUCUCAUCAUUUCUGCUUUCAAAACAACUGCUUCUCUCCACAAAACAUGAAAUCAAUGUGAAUAAAAACCAACAUAUUCUCAUCUUCACAUUCAGAGAGGCCAUAAGUGAAGAAUUCACCUUUUUUUCUAUGGCUAUACUAUUCCACAAAGUUUGAUUGUUUGUUAUGAAAAAAAUAAAGCUAUGGCUUUGUGUGCAGACCAUCAUCACACAUAUAUAGGGAAUGUUCUUCUUUUUAUCUUUUUUUUCAAGAAGGUACAGGUCACCCCACUAUGAUAAUAUUAUUCUAUUCCCAUUGGUUUUGAAUGAUUCUAAUGUUUCAG